GGUACUAUGAAAUAACUUGGUGUGCCGAAAAUUCCAAACGGAACGGGAGAAGCCCAAGCAACUGCAGUUNUCAUUUGAUACUACAGCGAGUAACAGAGGAGUAAACACUGGUGCACGUGUACUUCUUGAAAAAAAAAAUAAAAAAGACCUCAUCAGUUUAGCAUGCCGACAUCACAUAUUAGAAAUUAUUAUUGAGAGAGUGUUUAAUGCGUUAAUGGAAACUUCAAACGGUCCCAAUAUUUGGCUGUUUCAAAGAUUUGCAUCUAACUGGAGCCAAAUUAAUAUAAAUAAAUAUGAAAGCGGAAUAACAGAAGACACAGUCGCUAAUGAAUUAAAACCACACAAAAAUGGCCUUGUAAAGUUCAUUAAAGACCAGUUAGCGACAUAUCAGCCUAGAGAUGACUAUAGGGAAUUGUUACAACUUUCUCUUAUAUUCUUAGGAGAUAAAACUGCUCGAUGUUUUAACAUUCGUACACCUGGUGCUUUACAUCGAGCUAGAUGGAUGGCAAAGUAAAUUUAUAACUUGAAAAUUUACUUAUUUCGAUCGCAGUUUAAACUAACUGUUCGAGAAUUAUCUGCUCUUCGCGUCUUCAACGUUUUUGUUAUAAAAGUUUAUAUUAAGUAUUGGUAUACCUCUUCUUGUGGAGAAUUAGCUCCUAACAACGAUCUAAAUCUUUUAAAAGAACUCGAUAAUUACAAAAAAAACAAAUAAAGUUAUUGCUGAUCCGGCUAUCAAGAGCUUCUCAAGACAUUUAUGGUAUAUAAGUGAAACGCUUAUUGGAUUAGCCUUUUUUGACAGCAAAGUGUCUUCUGAAAUUAAAGAAAAUAUGGUAAAAUCAUUAGUGAAGAAAGGUGCUGAAAUCCCUCUUCGGCGUAUUACAGUUGAGAUGACGGCAGUUCAAACAGUACAAUUAUGUGAUUUUAUUUGUAAAAAUACCCUCAAAUUAUUUAAAGCCUUGGAUAUACCUCAAGAUUUUUAAAUCAGCAUCCAAGUACUUCGGAAAAUAAUAAUGAUUUCAUUGAGAGUCGUAAAAGGAUUCAAAAUCUGAAAGUAGUAAAUGAUGCUGCUGAACGUGGAAUUUCAUUAAUUCAAACAUUCAAUGGGAUACUUACCAACCAAGAGGAGCAAAAGCAAUAUCUUUUACAAGUAGUUGAACAACACAGACAGAU